rnacentral:tRNA from 2 species
GGCCGGGUAGCUCAGUUGGUAGAGCAGCGGAUUGAAAAUCCGCGUGUCACAGGUUCGAUUCCCGUCCCGGCCACCA